UACAGAGGGUGCAAGCGUUGUCCGGAAUUAUUGGGCGUAAAGAGCUCGUAGGCGGUCUGUCGCGUCGGCUGUGAAAACCCGGGGCUCAACCCCGGGCCUGCAGUCGAUACGGGCAGACUAGAGUGCGGUAGGGGAGACUGGAAUUCCUGGUGUAGCGGUGAAAUGCGCAGAUAUCAGGAGGAACACCGGUGGCGAAGGCGGGUCUCUGGGCCGAUAUUUACGCUGAGGAGCGAAAGCGUGGGGAGCAAACAGG
rnacentral:rRNA from 1 species